rnacentral:rRNA from 1 species
GAUCAUGGCUCAGGAUGAACGCUAGCUACAGGCUUAACACAUGCAAGUCGAGGGGCAGCAUGGUCUUAGCUUGCUAAGGCCGAUGGCGACCGGCGCACGGGUGAGUAACACGUAUCCAACCUGCCGUCUACUCUUGGACAGCCUUCUGAAAGGAAGAUUAAUACAAGAUGGCAUCAUGAGUCCGCAUGUUCACAUGAUUAAAGUAUUCCGUUACGGACGAAUGGG